rnacentral:rRNA from 1 species
UGGGGAAUUUUCCGCAAUGGGCGAAAGCCUGACGGAGCUAUGCCGCGUGGAGGCGGAAGGCCUACGGGUCGUCAACUUCUUUUCUCGGAGAAGAAACAAUGACGGUAUCUGAGGAAUAAGCAUCGGCUAACUCUGUGCCAG